rnacentral:rRNA from 1 species
AGUGAACGCUGGCGGUAGGCCUAACACAUGCAAGUCGAACGGCAGCACGGGAGAGCUUGCUCUCUGGGUGGCGAGUGGCGGACGGGUGAGGAAUACAUCGGAAUCUACUCUGUCGUGGGGGAUAACGUAGGGAAACUUACGCUAAUACCGCAUACGACCUACGGGUGAAAGCAAGGGACCUUCGGGCCUUGCGCGAUUGAAUGAGCCGAUGUCGGAUUAGCUAGUUGGCGGGGUAAAGGCCCACCAAGGCGACGAUCCGUAGCUGGUCUGAGAGGAUGAUCAGCCACACUGGAACUGAGACACGGUCCAGACUCCUACGGGAGGCAGCAGUGGGGAAUAUUGGACAAUGGGCGCAAGCCUGAUCCAGCCAUACCGCGUGGGUGAAGAAGGCCUUCGGGUUGUAAAGCCCUUUUGUUGGGAAAGAAAUCCAGCUGGCUAAUACCCGGUUGGGAUGACGGUACCCAAAGAAUAAGCACCGGCUAAUUUCGUGCCAGCAGCCGCCGCAG